UGAAACAUCAGCUGGCCGUCUGCUUUUUGGGUCUGCAAAGAAUCAUUCUAUGAAGUUUUUCUCCCAUCACUCACUACCAGAGAAUAUAUAUCUAGCUCACUUGUUUAGCUUUCCUACACUAAGCUACAUAGAGAUAUGGAACAGAAGCAAAGCAUAGAGCAAUUUAAAGGCCAAGCAAGGUUACCGAAUUUUGCAAUCCCGAAACGCUAUGAUCUUCAUCUCAAACUUGAUCUCUCUGCCUGCACCUUCUCCGGCACCGUGCAGAUUAACGUUAGCAUCGUUGAAGAGACCAAGUUUCUUGUCUUGAACGCUCUUGAACUUGAUGUUCAUCAAGUUUGGUUCACCAACUCUCACGGCCAAAAGUACCACCCCUGCGAUGUUGUUUUGGAUGGAGAUGAUGAAGUUCUUGUUUUGGUAUUUGAUAAAGCACUUGGUAUUGGUGAGGGAGUCUUGGGGGUUGACUUUUCUGCAGUCCUUAAUGCGCAUUUGGUGGGGUUAUAUAAAUGUGCUUAUAUGGAUGGGGAAGAGAAAAAGAAUAUGGCUGUUACUCAAUUCGAAGCUGUGGAUGCGAGGAGGUGCUUUCCAUGUUGGGAUGAACCUGCUCUCAAGGCUAGAUUCAAGAUAACAUUAGAUGUACCAUCAGAGCUUACAGCUUUAUCCAAUAUGCCUAUUAUUAAUGAAAAGUGUGAUGGAGAUGUUAAGACUGUGUCUUUUGAGGAAUCUCCAAUCAUGUCAACUUAUUUGGUGGCUGUUGUUGUUGGCCUAUUUGAUCAUAUUGAAGAUACAACAUCUGAUGGGGUAAAGGUUCGUGCAUAUUGCCCUGUUGGGAAGAGUGAUAAAGGGGAAUUUGCGUUAAAUGUUGCUGUUAAGACCCUUGAUCUUUUCUCCAAAUACUUCUCAACGCCUUACUCACUUCCCAAACUUGAUAUGGUUGCGGUUCCUGAAUUUUCCGGUGGGGCCAUGGAGAAUUAUGGUUUGAUCACAUACCGUGAAACUGAACUGCUUUUUGAUCCUUUGCAUUCCACAGCAGCAAGAAAGCAAAGAAUGGCAAUUGUUGUAUCACAUGAAGUAGCACAUCAGUGGUUUGGCAAUCUGGUAACAAUGGAAUGGUGGACUGAUUUAUGGCUUAACGAGGGUUUUGCAACAUGGAUAAGUUAUAUGGCCACUGAUAUUUUGUUUCCUGAGUGGAAAGUUUGGUCUCAAUUUCUUCAAUAUACUACUGGUGGCCUAAUUAUGGAUGCCCUGGAACAAUCACAUCCAAUUCAGGUAGAGGUACACCACGCACGUUCAGUUCUUGAAAUAUUCGAUGCUAUCAGUUAUGAAAAGGGAUCUGCUGUUAUACGAAUGCUGCAGGCUUAUCUUGGUGAUGAUAUAUUCCAGAAAUCGUUAAGUUCCUACAUAAAAAGAUAUUCUGAAAAAAAUGCAAAGACAGAAGAUUUAUGGAGUGUUCUGUCGGAGGAAUCUGGUCUCAAAAUCAGUGAAAUGAUGGAUGAUUGGACUAAGAAACAAGGAUAUCCUGUGAUCUCUGUAACAGCAAAGGAUCAUAUUUUGGAAUUUGAGCAGACACAGUUUCUGUCAGCUGGUUUGCUUAGUGAAGGGAAAUGGAUUGUUCCAGUAACUAUUUCACUCGGUUCAUAUGAGAGACGCAAGAAUUUCCUUUUGGAAACAAAGUCCAGUGAAGUGGACAUAUCAGAUCUUGUUGACACUUCUGAUACUAAUUUAAAGAAUAAAGAGACAUGUGAUGAACAACUGUGGGUCAAGGUUAAUAUCGAGCAGAGUGGUUUUUAUAGGGUAAAAUAUGAAGAUAAGCUAGCAGCUCGACUUAGGAAGGCUAUUGAGCAUAAUAGCUUGGAAGCAACAGACAAAUUUGGUAUUCUGGAUGAUGCAUACGCCCUUUGCGAAGCUUGUGAACAGUCACUAUCAUCUUUGCUUUCCUUGAUGGAUGUAUACAGAAAAGAAGCUGAUUAUAUUGUCUUAUCAAAACUUAUAGACGUAUGUUAUAACAUUGUUAAAGUAUCAACCGAGGCCAUCCCUGAUUCAGUGAAUGAGUUGAAGCAAUUUUGCAUCAAUCUCCUCAUGUUUCCAUCAGGAAAAUUAGGCUGGGAACCAGUACCUGGAGAGAGUCACUUUAGUACACUUUUGAGAGCAGAAGUCUUGCAGGCCUUGGUUACAUUUGGCCAUGAUAAAACUCAGAAUGAAGCAUUAGAUCGAUUUCAGAAAUUAUUGAAUGAUAGAAACACUCCGCUUCUUACUGCAGAUACAAGAGCUGCUGCUUACAUUGCAAUGAUGAGGAAUGCUGGCAGCUCACACAAGGAAGGCUUUGAGUCACUAUUAAAUGUUUACAGAGAAGCUGGUACAGUGCAAGAGAAGGAACGAAUUCUACGUUAUUUUGCGUCUUCUCCAGACCCAGAUACAGUUGUUGAUGUUUUGAACUUUUUCUUAUCUGAUGAGGUUCGAGAUCAGGACAUUAUAUUUGCACUCCCUGGUAUAAGCUUAGAAUGCCGUGAAACAGCAUGGAAAUGGACGAAGGAGAACUGGGAGCUGAUCCUCACCAAGUAUGGUGCUGGAUUGCUACUCACCCGUUUCGUAAGAGACGUUGUAACACCGUUUUGUAGCAAUGAAAAGGCUGAUGAGGUUGAAGAAUUUUUCGCAAGCCGGUUGCAUCCUUCCAUUGCUAUGACUCUGAAGCAAAGCAUUGAGCAUGUCCGAAUCAAGGCGAGGUGGGUUCAAAGCGCAAGGCAGGAGCAAUCUCUUCAAGAACUAGUCAAAGAGUUGGCGGGCAAGAAAUGAAUAUUGCUUGUCAUGCACAUAAUUUCGUCUUGAAUAUUUCCCUUGUGAACAUGUGUUUCGAUCAGCCGCUUAAGCAUCACCUGUAGGGGUCUAAAUAUGCUAACUUGUUUGUUGGUCUCUCCAGAACUGAGCUCUAGGGAACUUAGGUAUUCUCAAUUACAUCGCAGUCUCAAUGUAUACGUACAUCUUUCAGGUCUCUCCAGAACUGAGCUCUAGGGAACCUAGCUCUCUUCAUUCUGAACAACAUGUUCAAUGUCACUUUAUCUAU